rnacentral:lncRNA from 1 species
AGCUCACAGCAAUGCCAGAUCUGUAACACACUGAGAGAGGCCAGGGAUCGAACCCACAUCCUCAUGGAUACUAGUCGGGUUCGUUUCUGCUGAGCCACAACCAGAACUCCCUCUCUGGCAAUCUUUAAAAGACCACCAUGUUUUCAAACCUAUCAAAUCUAUGAACCAGGAAGGUGCCUCUGAACUUAUGUAAGGGCUUUAAAAUACGGCUAAUAGAUGCUCUUCCCUUCUUCCCAGCUGACUGAAUGAAGCAAAACAACCCCAAACUGGGUUGACUCCAGAGCACUCCCAUGGUUGCUGAGAAAUAUAAAUUCUCUCAACAGUCUUCGAGGCCUGAGGACAGCAAGGGUCAGGUUGGCUAAUUUUAAUUAUAUUCUCUUAGCAUGUCUUGAAGACCAUAAAUCUAAAUGCCAAUAAAUUAAUAUAUCAUGCCGAAGGCCUUCCAGCCACAGCACUAAAUCAACUAUGCAGGGAGUGCCGUGUGGAAUAGGGCAAACUCCCCGAAGCUCAAGCAUUUCAAUUUCACUGUAUUAAUUUGUCAUUAAAGGGGCCCUCUAGUCCCAGUGUCUGUGUGUGUGACAUGAACAGUGGUAAUUUGCUGGGUAUGAGUUCAGUCCAUUGUACCCUUGGCUUCUGCACAGCUGUCUUUCCCCACACCCUCAAGGUGGGUGCCGAGGUAGCUUCAGAGGUGGAGUGGUCCUUUUGUGCAGGGAUGCUCAGUUGGGCUGAACUAGGGACUUGGUCAGGCCCGGGGUCAGUGUGAGGCCAUUGAGAAGUCAGAUCUCAUCUACACCACUUCCCCUGGAGGCCAGGAUCCUGCUGUGCACACCCAACUCCGUGGCUCAAUGGGUAAUAUGACGCCUGGGCCAUGAUGGGCAGUUCAGUUCAAACGGUAGCUUGGUGGCCAUUGGCUAAGCUUUGGUCACCACUAAGAUCCAGGAGCAGUCCAGAAGCUGUUCCCCAAAGGCAGGAGAUUAUCCAAAGUUGGUAGCAGAGCCUUGCUCCCUAAUCUUAAAGGCCUGUGAUGUGAUUCCCAUUCAGGGAUCCCACGAAGGCUCAGGAUAAGGGUUCCAAGUGGCAUCUCUGUCCACCAAUGACCCUUCAAGCAUGACUGAUCCACUGGUUCACAUGGCCUGAGUGGCAGGCAGCUUGCAGGGCAGGCCUCUGUGUUCAGAACUCUACCCAAACCACUCUUUGAGUCACUCAGUAACUAAACUGGAGCCACAAGCCUUUGUUACCUCCAAACCCAGAAAAGCCCUGAUAGGUUUGCACCUGUUCCCUGGUAGUAGGGGUGCUGGGUGCCCCAGUGUGUUCCUGCACUUUAUCAGGGAUGGCUCACCUUGUCCUAGAUCACAGGUCCACAUGACUGUCCCUGAAGUGGGAGGGCCCGGAUUCCUGGGAGAUUUCUCUCUCACUCUCUAGUACAUACAUGUAUUGUCAGUGUUUCUAGUGUAGCUACUGCAUCCUGCUCACUGGGCCAGUCAGCAUAACGUAAUCCAUGUCACAGGCCAGCUCGUCCUGUGAGAGAGAAAGGGGACCAGGACUCUGGGACUAAGCUACAACAUGGAGUGGACAGGUCACCACCCUGAGGGGGGCAGUGAGGGUACUGCUGUCCUUGCUGGCUGAAGGCAAGCUUCUUCUGGGGUCUUCAUUAUCAUGGAUGGAGUAAAGGCACUUUCCAGAUCAAGCUGCACAGCAGGUACUGGAGGUAUGUUCAUUUGCUCAAGAAACACCACUCAUCUGGUUCAGCAGAGUCCUGGAGUCACAGGUUGGCUAAGGUGUGGUAAUCCACCAUCAUUCCCCAGGGACCAUCUUCACAGGUCACACAGGAGAGAUGAGUGGGGAUAUGGCAUCUUCCAGGCCUCAGUGGUUGCACCGGUCUCUGCAGUCCCUUGGGAAAUGUGGUGUUGCCUCUGGUAUACUAAUGUCUGGGGCAGAGCUGUUUUGGUACUUCCAUUUGGUGGUUCCCAUAAUAAUAGCCUUCAGUCUGUGGGUCAGGAAAGCCAGGUGGGGAUUCUCUUAAGCAUCCUGCCUCUGAGGAAGUAACCACAGGAUGAGGCUGUGGACCUCUGAGAUGAGCCUGAACUGAAUGUCCAUUGCUCAUGUGACCACUGUGACUGGGGAGCCUCGGUGACAUUUUGGGUGUCCUGGAGUGACUGUCAGGUUACAGCCAGUGCCCAUUAAUCCACUAAAUUGUUUCAAUUUCUCCAGGUCACAGUCACCCUGGUAAGUGGCCAGUGAUCCCCAUGGGAGGCUGGGAGAGAGAUUAACAGUAUACAUUUUUGGUGGUACAGAGGGACCCUUUCUCAAGGCCACUGGAUUCCCUGUCAUUCAAGGACUCUAGGUAUGUUGCCGGACUUGCUGGGGACUGGCUGAUUGGGGGUACUUUCUCUUUGGGGUCCUUCCAAGGCAGACUGUUCAUGAGGCCUUGAGUUCUUAACGCUUAGACAUAUCAGGUCAGAAUUUAGCAGAUGCCCAUCGGCUGCUUUUCCAGAGGCACCGUGAUCAUAGGUCUGUGAGUCUGGCUCUUCUGUCGCUGCUUUGGCUCAAGUGGGUGUCCACUGCGGUCACUGGCUGGGCAUCCGAAGUUGGCCCCCCAGUCUGCCUCUCACUUUCCUUCUCUCUCCUUCCUGCUUUGAGCUUGGGGCUGCAGCAACACUGCUGUGUGUGUGUCCUCCCUCCCUUUGUCAGGCCAUCCAGUUCUGCUCUGUCCACCACUCUCUGUGACCCCAUGCUCCUUGGUCCACACACUCUACCCCAGUGGGCAGUGCUUGCCUGCUCAUUUGCCUCUUCAGGCUGGGAGGUUCUCCAGGAGAGGGCUUGGCCCCUGGCCAGCUCAAAUGCAUGCCUGUUCAGCAGACAUGAGCUUUCGAACUGAUGAUCCCUGAGUGCCUGACAGAGGCACCUGACCCUUCUCUGAUUGAAGUGUCCAGGUGAGAGGUGCAGACCUCUGAGUCUGUUCUCAUGGGCUCACCUGCAACAUGAAAGGUGCAUUCCCCAUUCAUUUAAAACUCUUUCCAGUCUGCAUCCCCAGUCAGCAGGAGACUUGGCAAGCCCUGCACGAUUUUUUGUUGUUGUUGCUUCUGACAGCCUGUCCUGUCUGUCAACAUGAUUCCCCAUAAAUUGUUCUAAUUUAUAAGGCAUUUCACACUACAUGAGGCUGGUAGGCACAUGGGGGGGGGCGGGGCAUGGGGAAGCCAGUUCAGAGGCUCGUGAGGCUAUUGGUGCUCCUAUAGAAUGCUAUGGUGGGGGGGCGGGGCUCCCCUGAUGCACAGGAUCAGGGCUGGGCAGCAGCUGUAAUUAAAGGAAAAAGUGGGCACUUCUGGGCUUCACCACUCUCCCAGCUCCCAGCUCUGUGCUGCAGCCCCUGGAAAUCCCUGCAUCAAGCAGUGAAUUAUUCAGCAGGACAAGGCAAGUAAACAAAGAGGUGGAGGUUCUCACACCCAGUAAGCAGGUGAGCAGAGCUUCCGCAUUGCAAGGGGCACAGACUUAGCGCAGGAACACGAAUAUUUAUUAUGCAAAUCUCUUAACCAGCUGUAUGGAACCAGAGGCAAAAAAUCACCGCAAGUUUUUUCCUAUGAGUUUGUUAGUCUACUGACUGGUUUAUUGCCCUGUCCUCAUUGGGGUCCCCUACUGUAGCAUACGUGUUUGUUUGUUUUUAGAGAUUUUGUUAUUUGUUGUGAUUCUUAAGGUUAUAUAUCGAAUAUCAUUUCACAAAAGCACAUGUGGCUUUAUUUAUGUAUUUGUCCAGAAAUUAAAUUUAUAAAAU